rnacentral:rRNA from 1 species
UAUGUGAUCGUCUCUCGCAUAUCAAUAAGCGGAGGAAAAGAAACUAACAAGGAUUCCCCUAGUAACGGCGAGUGAAGCGGGAAGAGCUCAAAUUUGAAAUCUUAAAGGGUUUCCCUUUACGAAUUGUAGUUUAAAGAAGUGUUUUCUGUUGAGGUUUUGGUAAAAGUUCUUUGGAAUAGGACAUCAUAGAGGGUGAGAAUCCCGUAUUUGACCUUUACUUUCAACUUUGUGAUACACUUUCAAAGAGUCGGAUUGUUUGGGAAUGCAGUCCAAAAUGGGUGGUAAAUUUCAUCUAAAGCUAAAUAUUGGCGAGAGACCGAUAGCGAACAAGUACCGUGAGGGAAAGAUGAAAAGAACGUUGAAAAGAGAGUUAAACAGUACGUGAAAUUGUCAAAAGGGAAGCGUUUGACACCAGUGUUGUUUUUCUGAAAAUCAAUUAAAGAACUGUUUAUGCUAAGUUGUUUAGACUUUAUCAGCUAAUCUGUUUAGUUUUGAACUUUUCUUUAAUGCACUUUUCAGUUAACAAGUCAACAUCAAUUUCUUUUGCUGUAAAAAAGCUUGAGGAAGGUGGCUUGAGAUUCGUCCUUAAGUGUUUAUAGCCUCUUGCCUAUGCAGUCGGAGAGAUUGAGGUCUGCAGCGUAGAUCCUUCGGGGCUAAAUGACAUUUGUGCUAAGUUAUAGCAUUUUAUAGACAACUUGUUGACUAUGAUUUGUCUUGUAGCUUACUCGCUUAUGUUAUUUUACCUACGCUUAGGAUGUUGACUGAUAUGUAGUCGU